CUUGAAUAAGAAGGCUGAUUUGCUCAUUUGGUUUCAGAACAUUAGCUGUUUCCCCAUUCUGGGCACAAAGGAAAGGAAAUUUUUCUCCUACCACCUAGAGUCCUUUUUUUGAGCUUAUGACUAACUUCCUUCCUCCCAGCAACAAUUUUGGGUAAAACAAGUUAAAUGAACUUUGUAUUUUCGGAUGGUAUUAUCGAUUACUGAAUCACCACCAUUCACUUCUCCCCAUUAUGUUACAGAAUCCAUCCUGCACAUAUUCUGUUGAACUCAGUGAACUCUCAGAUUCCAUCCGUUGUGUUUUUGGAGGAAGACAACAAAAGCAAAUCCCAAGCAAAGGUGGUAGGACUACUUCAGGAUCUAAGUCCAGGAGAAUAGCCAAUGUCCAAAGAAGAAAGAGUGAGAGCGCCUGCUGGGUGUACGGCCACUGUGCUAGAUAUUGAGACCUAGAACAACAGUGAUAUAUCAAUUCUCCUGGGGAAAUUCAGGCUGUUUAUAAAACAACAACAACAACAACAACAACAACACAACAAC
rnacentral:lncRNA from 12 species